rnacentral:rRNA from 1 species
UACGUAGGGGCGAGCGUUGUCCGGAAUCAUUGGGCGUAAAGCGCGCGUAGGCGGCCCGAUAAGUCUGCUGUGAAAGUCCAGGGCUCAACCCUGGAAUGCCGGUGGAUACUGUCGGGCUAGAGUUCGGAAGAGGCAAGUGGAAUUCCUGGUGUAGCGGUGGAAUGCGCAGAUAUCAGGAGGAACACCUAUAGCGAAGGCAGCUUGCUGGGACGACACUGACGCUAAGGCGCGAAAGCGUGGGGAGCGAACAGG